rnacentral:rRNA from 1 species
CUACGUGCCAGCAGCCGCGGUAAUACGGAAGGUCCAGGCGUUAUCCGGAUUUAUUGGGUUUAAAGGGAGUGUAGGCGGUCUGUUAAGCGUGUUGUGAAAUUUAGGUGCUCAACAUUUAACUUGCAGCGCGAACUGGCGGACUUGAGUGCACGCAACGUAUGCGGAAUUCAUGGUGUAGCGGUGAAAUGCUUAGAUAUCAUGAAGAACUCCGAUCGCGAAGGCAUAUGUCCGGAGUGCAACUGACGCUGAGGCUCGAAAGUGCGGGUAUCGAACAGGAUUAGAUACCCUGGUAGUCCGCMCAGUAAACGAUGAAUACUCGCAGUAUGCGAUAUAAUGUAUGCUGCCAAGUGAAAACGUUAAGUAUUCCMCCUGGGGAGUACGCCGGCAACGGUGAAACUCAAAGGAAUUGACGGGGGCCCGCACAAGCGGAGGAACAUGUGGUUUAAUUCGAUGAUACGCGAGGAACCUUACCCGGGCUUGAAC